rfam:Chlorocebus sabaeus isolate 1994-021 chromosome 8, whole genome shotgun sequence.
GGUAAAAUGGCUGAGUAAGCAUUAAACUGUAAAUCUAAAGACAGAAGUUAAGGCCUCUUUUCACCA